UACAACGCACUACCUGUUCAUAGUAGUCGUUGCUGUCAACAGCACACUGCUCACCAUCAACGCAGGGGCCUACAUCUUCUACACAGACUGGGCGUGGACAUCCUUCGUUGUGUUCUCGGUGGCGUCGGCGACGAUAAUAGAGAUACGCUCAAAUUCUGUCAUGCUAUUCACAGGGUUGCUAUACACAGCAACCUUUACUACCACGAACAUGCACAUCUCACAAUGCUGCUCAAACGUCGCAGGGGUUGUACCUGAACACUCGUACCCCUACGCGGCGACAAGACGCAACAAGCACGCUGCCAUACUGAUUGGCGGUACGCUGGUUGGCCUAGCCUUCCCGCUGUUCAACAUGGUCAACCUGUUGCUUGUAAGGGACCCGCUCGAGGUGGCCGUCAAGUAUCCGAUACCGACGCUGCCCGCGUACAUGACGCCUAUAGAGCCUCAGGUAGGGAAGUUCUACAACUCGCCUGUCGCCCUGGGUUCAGGUGCCGGUGCAGUGCUAACGGUACCCAUCGCUGCGUUGGGUGCAAAACUAAACACGUGG
rnacentral:rRNA from 1 species